UUCUUUUUUGCGAUUCUUCCUGCGUUUUUUUGCCUGCGGCAUCGUUGAUAUUAUCCUGUCCUCUUAUUUAUUUAUAUUUUGGACAGGUAAAAAUAAAAAUACAACCAAUAAACUUUUUACGCUGUGACACUUCGGGCCAAAGGUCUUGCUACGCUGUGAUUGAUAUUAGAUGCCAGUCCUCACUCCUCUCUUCACCAUCUGAGGUUUGCCAUGCGUCCCGACCGCGAUGUCCUUUUAAGGGGUGUGCUGAGCCGUUGAAACUUCUUGGGUGAAAAGUUGUUUGUUACACUUUCUGACUCCACACAUACUUCGGUCCCUGAAGAAGGAAACCCGAAACGCGUUGGGCCCAGUAUUCAUAUUGUGGACUCUUCACUCUUUUCCUACUACACCCCAUUAAUGUGUUGUUUUUAAACCUUUGUAUUAUACACGUUUACUAAAUAUUGUUUGAUACCGUUUUGUUACUAUUAAACUAUUAUAUAUUUUUGUAUCUA